rnacentral:rRNA from 1 species
CACGGGGGGAGCAAGCGUUGUUCGGAAUUACUGGGCGUAAAGGGCGUGUAGGCGGUCAGGUAAGUGAGAUGUGAAAUGCUCCGGCUUACCCGGAGACCUGCAUCUCAUACUGCUUGGCUUGAGUACGGGAGAGGGUGUGGGAAUUCCUGGUGUAGCGGUGAAAUGCGUAGAUAUCAGGAGGAACACCGGUGGCGAAGGCGCACACCUGGCCCGAUACUGACGCUGAGGCGCGAAAGCUAGGGGAGCAAACGGG